UACGUAGGGGGCUAGCGUUGUCCGGAAUCAUUGGGCGUAAAGCGCGCGUAGGCGGCCCGGUAAGUCCGCUCUGAAAGUCCAGGGCUCAACCCUGGAAAGCGGGUGGAUACUGCCGGGCUAGAAUCCGGAAGAGGCGAGUGGAAUUCCUGGUGUAGCGGUGGAAUGCGCAGAUAUCAGGAGGAACACCGGUGGCGAAGGCGGGUCUCUGGGCCGAUAUUGACGCUGAGGAGCGAAAGCGUGGGGAGCGAACAGG
rnacentral:rRNA from 1 species